AACGCACCUUGCGCUCCUUGGUAUUCCGAGGAGCAUGCCUGUUUGAGUGUCAUGAAAAUCUCAACUGCCUCAGCUUUUUAUAGUUGAAGUGAAGUUGGACUUGGAGGAUAAUUGCUGGCGCAACUCUGGUUGCUUGUUGGCUCCUCUUGAAUGAAUGAGCUUUCCAGUGGAUCGUGCUGAUGUGAUAAUUAUCUACGUCAGACAUGCAGAGGGUUUAGCUCUCCUACUGGAACAGAGGGGGGGAUUGAUGAAUGACAAAUUUGACCUCAAAUCAGGUAGGACUACCCGCUGAACUUAA
rnacentral:misc_RNA from 1 species